rnacentral:lncRNA from 1 species
AAGAGAUAUGAAAUUUAUCCUUAACAGAAAAUCAUCCAAUACGGUAACUAACAUAUUAACUACAACACGACGCACGAUAAGGGUCCAUAACUCCAUAUGCAGAGACAGGGCCUUCGGAAUUAGAGAGAGAAGAAAAUGAUAAGCUUCAGCUCCUAUUCCCAGAAUGCGUGCAUGUUAAAUAUAAUCAUGAUGGUAUUUUACCAGAAGGAUUCCUUCUGGUUUCUGAUUCCAUUUUACUGCUUUACUUUCUUUACUACUUUUUAAAUUUGAAACCUUGCGAUGAAAUAGUUAUAUUGUGCACUAAAAAAUGAUGGUUCAUAAUUAUCCAUAUAUCUAUAACAAAAUUAUGCUGAAUUAUCAGAGUCUAAUCUACUUCAACAGUGACUAAUUGAGAACAAAUUAUACAAUAUAAACUUAGCCCAUGUUGACUCAUGUUUACAUAUGAGCUGUUAUAAAUACAUAAACGACUUUUUAUUGACACAUUUGAAUGACCUAUAAAUAAUAUCUACUUAUUCAUCACAUUUUUUAUUCACUUAUACUUAUAAUUUAAAUUAUUUAUAAACACUUUCAAUACGUGCUUAAUUCUUUUCAUAAUCUUUUUAGAGAUAAUCAUAUUGAUCUCAACAACUAGUGGAGACAAUUGAGUGUGAUGUGGUUUUACAUUUUUUUUUUUUUUACGGGGAAUUCGCAGCCGCUACACUUCGAAUGCGUAUUGGGUAAAUUCUCAAACUGAUGUAAUAGCUUGCAAACUCGCACUAGGCAAGCCCUGUACGACAUGUUCAGAAAGUAUUGGUAGGAAGAGUCGAACUCGUGAUCAAAGACCUCCGCGCUCAUCUACUCUACCAACUCGGCCACUUCAUGUGGGGAUGAUGUGGUUUUACUUUUCUCUUAUUAAUGGAGGCUCAGCAUAUCGGAACAAAGAUAUAUACCAUAUUCUAUGUCCUACGAAAUUGUUGCCUAACAUAGGUCCUGAACCACUACUUAAGAGAAGAAUAUUACAUAUUAGACUUUCCGAAAUUUAUGUGGAUCGGGACACCCACGUGGUUCUUGUAGAUGCCAAGUGGACAUGAAUCAUGGGAAAAUCUUUUUCCAAUGUUGGACGCUUCUAAAAUUCCAUUGAAGAUAGUAUUGCUUUUCAAUGCUACUUAUCUAUAUUAAUUUAUUUUAGCAUUUAGUUUCCAUGAACAAGUGGAUUGUGUUAAAAGUUGUAGACUCUGUUUCGGUAAGAAAAAUGCAUCGUAGAUUCAGAAGAGUAAGAGAAAUUUUCUUGCAGACAGA